UUGUUUCCCCGCCGGUUUUUCGCGUGAUGCGACAGUAUGCACGACAGGAGGAGGAAGAGCAAGGACUGGGCUAGAUGUUGGCAUAGAAGCAAAGGUGGGAGCAGGACCCUCGGCCAUGAAAUUGAAAGGCAUCCCCCACGGGAAUCCGGUUGGCAUGGCCGUUGGAGCAAAGUGUGCACUGGCUGCAGGCACAGUCAAGGAGACAAUCUCAGAGAUGACUGUCCUCUGGGGAGGAGUUGAAGGUGUCGGAGAAGACUGGCUCUAGGCAGCCAUAAAUGAUUCCAUCAAGGCACUUAAUCUAGCCACUUCCUCUUUCAGCUCGCGGUUCUCUUGUUCCAGAUGAUCCAUCAGUCUUGAAAUGUUGGCUCUGGUGUAAUACCGGUGAGUCAUCUUAUCUUCAAAAUAAAUGAAGAACACAGAGUUAGACCACAAGACAAGAAGCCGGGAACAAAACCUGCUUAUGCACAUGAUGCAUGCAAUGUUCGUGCAUAUGAUUUGUUUUUUACUUCAAAGGAACUUUAGGGUUCUAUUUGCAAAUUUUGGAAAUAUUAAACACUCUGAUAUGGAAACAUAAUAUCUGGGAAAUAUUUUAUACCAAAGAAGUACAGCACUGGUAACCAAACAUAAUACAAGAGAGAAGGGAAAUAAACAUCUUAUGGAUCCCUAGAAACAAUCAUCUAAAGUUCGGGACAC
rnacentral:lncRNA from 1 species